GUCCCUUCAGGGACAUCUGAUAAAAUUGGAACGAUACAGAGAGGAUUAGCACGUCCCUUCCUGCGUAAGGAUGACACACAUACAAUUGAUUAGAGUAAAAUUUAU